AGUAAAAUGGCCGAGAUUAGGCGAUAAAUUGUAAAUUUAUUUACGAAAGAUGUUUCUUUUACUA
rnacentral:tRNA from 1 species